rnacentral:misc_RNA from 1 species
GUCCUUCCUCCCCAGAUUUUGAAGCAAAUUGGCGGGAUGGGUGGCCUACAGAGCUUGAUGAAGCAAAUGGGUUCAAAUAAGGAUAUGAUGGGAAUGUUCGGAGGUGGAGACAAGUAGAGCUUUGAUUCUAAGUUAGAUUCGAGUUCUCUUAUUCCGACAAUUGGAUCGUCUUGCAGAAUGUGUGGCAGUACUGAUCUUCUACAGGGAAGAAGACUGACGACAUCGAUGAUUUCACUGGAUUGAUUAAGCCAUCGGACAAAUAUGUAUAUUUAUUUGCUCUCUAGCGCAUGGUUACGGUUGUGACGGUUCGAGCUAAUUAUUUUUACCUCUUUUUUUGACUCAGUAAUUUCACCACCCCCACA